rnacentral:tRNA from 3 species
UGGGGUAUCGCCAAGCGGUAAGGCACCGGUUUUUGAUACCGGAAUUCCCUGGUUCGAAUCCAGGUACCCCAGCCA